GCAGCGCAAGGGUGAGUAAUACAUGGCUAACAUACCCCAAACAUGAGAAUAACUAUUAGAAAUGAUAGCUAAUGCUCAAUAGUUUCUUAAGACCUCCUGGUCUAAAGAAUAAAGGUAGGGAUCCUUCGGGACCUUCCGGUUUGGGAGUGGGUCAUGGGCUAUCAGCUAGUUGGUGAGGUAAAGGCUCACCAAGGCUAAGACGGCUAGGCGAUCUGAGAGGAUGAUCGCCCACAUCGGGACUGAGACACUGCCCGGACUCCUACGGGAGGCUGCAGUCGAGAAUCUUCCGCAAUGGGCGCAAGCCUGACGGAGCGACGCCGCGUGAGGGACGAAGGCUUUAGGGUCGUAAACCUCUUUCGCUUGUUAGGAAAAGUGUAUGUUAAUAGCAUGCACCCUGACAAAGGCAAGUAAAGAAGCACCGGCUAAAUCCGUGCCAGCAGCCGCGGUAAUACGGAUGGUGCAAGCGUUACUCGGAAUCACUGGGCGUAAAGCGUUCGUAGGUGGUUUAUUAAGUUGGAUGUGUAAUCCCACGGCUUAACCGUGGAACUGCGUUCAAAACUGAUAAACUAGAGAGCAGUAGGGGACAAGGGAACUUCGGGUGGAGCGGUGAAAUGCGUAGAUAUCUGAAGGAACACCGAUGGCGAAAGCACUUGUCUGGGCUGAUUCUGACACUGAGGAACGAAAGCUAGGGUAGCGAACGGGAUUGGAUACCCCGGUAGUCCUAGCCGUAAACGAUGGAUACUAGC
rnacentral:rRNA from 1 species